rnacentral:rRNA from 1 species
AUUGAACGCUGGCGGCACGCCUAACACAUGCAAGUCGAGCGGCAGCAUGCUUAGUAGCAAUACUAAGUGAUGGCGAGCGGCGGACGGGUGAGGAACACGUAGGAACCUGCCCAAGAGAGGGGGAUAACUAAGGGAAACUUUAGCUAAUACCGCAUAAUCUCUGGCGAGAAAAGUUGCCCGUAAGGGUAGCGCUUUUGGAGGGGCCUGCGUCCGAUUAGUUAGUUGGUGAGGUAAUGGCUCACCAAGACGAUGAUCGGUAACUGGUCUGAGAGGACGACCAGUCACACUGGGACUGAGACACGGCCCAGACUCCUACGGGAGGCAGCAGUGGGGAAUCUUGGACAAUGGGGGCAACCCUGAUCCAGCGAUGCCGCGUGGGUGAAGAAGGCCUUCGGGUUGUAAAGCCCUUUAGGCUGGGAAGAAGGGUAUGGGGUGAAUAACUCUGUACUUUGACGGUACCAGCAGAAUAAGCACCGGCAAACUCUGUGCCAGCAGCCGCCGUAA